rnacentral:rRNA from 1 species
GGCAUGCGAGCUACCAUGCAGUCGAGCGGUAACAGAGAGUAGCUUGCUACUCUGCUGACCAGCGGCGGACGGGUGAGUAAUGCUUGGGAAUGUACCUUAUGGUGGGGGACAACAGUUGGAAACGACUGCUAAUACCGCAUAAUGUCUUCGGACCAAAGCGGGGGACCUUCGGGCCUCGCGCCAUAAGAUCAGCCCAAGUGGGAUUAGCUAGUUGGUGAGGUAAUGGCUCACCAAGGCGACGAUCCCUAGCUGGUUUGAGAGGAUGAUCAGCCACACUGGGACUGAGACACGGCCCAGACUCCUACGGGAGGCAGCAGUGGGGAAUAUUGCACAAUGGGCGCAAGCCUGAUGCAGCCAUGCCGCGUGUGUGAAGAAGGCCUUCGGGUUGAAAAGCACUUUCAGUAAGGAAGAAAGGUUGGAUGUUAAUAGCAUUCAGCUGUGACGUUACUUACAGAAGAAGCACCGGCUAACUCCGUGCCAGCAGCCGCGGUAAUACGGAGGGUGCGAGCGUUAAUCGGAAUUACUGGGCGUAAAGCGUACGCAGGCGGUUUGUUAAUCGAGAUGUGAAAGCCCCGGGCUCAACCUGGGAACUGCAUUUCAAACUGGCAAACUAGAGUGUGAUAGAGGGUGGUAGAAUUUCAGGUGUAGCGGUGAAAUGCGUAGAGAUCUGAAGGAAUACCGAUGGCGAAAGCAGCCACCUGGGUCACGCUUGACGCUCAUGUACGAAAGCGUGGGGGAGCAAACAGGUUAGAUCCCUGG